AUGCUUUGGCAGCACAUACAGUAAAAUUGAAAUGACCCAGAGAGGAUUAGCUGGGCCCUUGUAAAGGAUGAUACACAAAUUCAUGAAGUAUUCUAUGUGUAU
ensembl:snRNA U6 U6 spliceosomal RNA